GGUGUUGAAGACCCUUAUAAGUCCAUUUUAGUGAACACAUUUUACAUAAUUUCCGAUAAUAUCAAAAGUGCAAUGCAAAUUAUUUUAUAACAAGUUAAUCGCGAAGCUAAAUCGGCACGAAAUUGAAUUUGUAUAAUAGUAAGUUACCUUCUGUCCAUUCUUUCUGUACAUUUUUAAAGAAGACAAAAUUCACAAAAAUAAAGUCUGAUACAUGUUAAGCAAUUCGUCGCAACUAUCCUAGAUUCUUAAUCAAAUGAUAAAUGUUUUUGUAAAGAAUUGUUCAUGAAUAUAUGACGUAAUACAAACCAUUCACUGAUGACGCAAUUGCUGUACUCGUGAUUGUUGUCGUUGAAAUUGUCUUUGGGACUAUCAAGAAAAUAUUACAACUGUGACAUUAAAAAAGACGUACAGGCAUUUCUAAAUUCCUAUAUAUAUUCCAACUUUACAAAAACAGAUUUCAACAUGAAUCAAAAUUUCAUUUAAAUGGGAAAAAAUAAACUCUCAGAUUGGUUAUAUCACCUUUACAAAAAAUACUAUACUGUAAUUUUUGUCGCAGAAAGAUUUGAUAUGUUUAGACAACAUUUUAUACAGUUGACUUUGGCCCAUGUGAAGUAUGAUAAACAUACUAUGCGUCCGUAGACCUCACACCUUGCUUGGUGAGCAAGAUUCGCCGCCCCUGUUGUGUUUGAAGGGAAAGUUGAGCGUCCAUCUGUCACCACAAAUAAGAAAUUAGGCACUAGUGGACGGUCUCCCGCCGCGUGAGUGAAACUGUGCUGGACAGCGUAAAGGAUUGCUUCAGAUGUAUGAGUGGACCCAGCUGAAUAUUUAAUUGUGUUCAUAGAACUUAAAAGUGCUUCUUUUGAUUGGUAUCUGCUCAAAUUGAAAACUUCCUGAACUCUUGUUGAAAAAGUUACUACACUGACUUGGACAUUUGAAGGCCCAAUAUUAGAGUUUUCAACAAAGGUCUUCACAAGAUUUAUUUGCUGGAAAAAAUUAGCCGAGCCAACACUUCCCGAUGCAUCAAGAAGAAAAACAACAUCUGCUUCUAUCAAACUGCAGUCUAAACAAAACAGAAUUUAUUUCAAAUAUAGUAAAAUGCGAAAAAAAUUCUAUACCCGUGAAUGAAUGCAUAUAUUUUUCUUGAACUUAAUCUAAAUGACAAAUAACAGAAAAACGAUAUAUACAUGUACUUUUAAAUACAUAACAUCUGUAAAAGGUAUUUUUAGAUUUACCAACUGUUUUACAGGUGAAAAUUUGUAUAAAACACUGAUAUUGAUAAGAUUAUGUUAACAAGUUGUGUAUAUGUAUUAAUAGCGUAAUAAACAACUAUGGAAUC
rnacentral:sRNA from 1 species